rnacentral:rRNA from 1 species
GACGAACGCUGGCGGCGUGCUUAACACAUGCAAGUCGAACGGAAAGGCCCUGCUUUUGUGGGGUUCUCGAGUGGCGAACGGGUGAGUAACACGUGAGUAACCUGCCCUUGACUUUGGGAUAACUUCAGGAAACUGGGGCUAAUACCGUAUAGGAGCUCCUGCUGCAUGGUGGGGGUUGGAAAGUUUCGGCGGUUGGGGAUGGACUCGCGGCUUAUCAGCUUGUUGGUGGGGUAGUGGCUUACCAAGGCUUUGACGGGUAGCCGGCCUGAGAGGGUGACCGGCCACAUUGGGACUGAGAUACGGCCCAGACUCCUACGGGAGGCAGCAGUGGGGAGUAUUGCACAAUGGGCGGAAGCCUGAUGCAGCAACGCCGCGUGCGGGAUGACGGCCUUCGGGUUGUAAACCGCUUUCGCCUGUGACGAAGCGUGAGUGACGGUAAUGGGUAAAGAAGCACCGGCUAACUACGUG